rnacentral:rRNA from 1 species
UACAGGGGGUGCAAACGUUGCUCGGAAUUAUUGGGUGUAAAGCGCGCGUAGGCGGCUACUUAAGUCGGAUGUGAAAGCCCCUGGCUCAACUGGGGAAGUGCACCCGAAACUGAGUGGCUUGAGUACUAAAGAGGGUCGCGGAAUUCCCGGUGUAGAGGUGAAAUGCGUAGAUAUCGAGAGGAACACCUGCGGCGAAGGCGGGUUGCUGGGCUGAUACUGACGCUGAGGCGCGAAAGCCAGGGGAGCGAACGGG